rnacentral:rRNA from 1 species
GAACGCUGGCGGCGUGCUUAACACAUGCAAGUCGAACGGAAUUAAGGAGCUUGNUCUUUAAUUUAGUGGCGCACGGGUGAGUAACGCGUGGAUGAUCUACCCUUGAGUUUGGAAUAACAGCGGGAAACUGUUGCUAAUACCGGAUAACAUCACAAAUCAACCUGUGAUCAAAGGCGGGGUAACCUGUCGCUUGGGGAUGAGUCCGCSUCUCAUUAGCUAGUUGGUGAGGUAAUGGCUCACCAAGGCAACGAUGAGUAGCCGGUCUGAGAGGAUGAUCGGCCACACUGGGACUGGAACACGGCCCCAGACUCCUACGGGAGGCAGCAGUGGGGAAUAUUGCGCAAUGGGCGAAAGCCCUGACGCAGCGACGCCGCGUGAGGGAUGAAGGUUCUCSGAUCGUAAACCUCUGUCASAAGGGAAGAAAAAC